AUUGAACGCUGGCGGCAGGCCUAACACAUGCAAGUCGAGCGAGCGGCGGACGGGUGAGUAAUGUAGGGGGACUGCCCGAUAGAGGGGGAUAACUACUGGAAACGGUAGCUAAUACCGCAUACUAUCGGAUAACCCAUAUGGGAUUAGCUAGUAGGUGAGGUAAUGGCUAACCUAGGCGACGAUCCAUAGCUGGUCUGAGAGAGUGAUCAGCCAAACUGGGACUGAGUCACGGCCCAGACUCCUACGGAGGCAGCAGGGGGGAAUAUUGGGCAAUGGGCGCAAGCCUGAUGCAGCCAUGCCGCGUGUGUGAAGAAGGCCCUAGGGUUGUAAAGUACUUUCAGUCGGGAGGCGUUACCGACAGAAGAAGCACCGGCUAACUCCGUGCCAGCAGCCGCGGUAAUUC
rnacentral:rRNA from 1 species